ACAUGUUUGUUGUUAUAAGAACAAACUUGUUAGGUUUGAUUACACAAGAAUUCCUACAACAGUCAGCAGGGAUUACAUGCUGAGGUUUGAUUACACAAGAAUUCCUACAACAGUCAGCAGGGAUUACAUGCUAAGGUUUGAUUGCACAAGAAUUCCUACAACAGUCAGCAGGGAUUACAUGUUAAGGUUUGAUUACACAAGAAUUCCUACAACAGUCAGCAGGGAUUACAUGCUAAGGUUUGAUUGCACAAGAAUUCCUACAACAGUCAGCAGGGAUUACAUGCUAAGGUUUGAUUACACAAGAAUUCCUACAACAGUCAGCAGGGAUUACAUGUUAAGGUUUGUUUACACAAGAAUUCCUACAACAGUCAGCAGGGAUUACAUGCUAAGGUUUGAUUACACAAGAAUUCCUACAACAGUCAGCAGGGAUUACAUGCUAAGGUUUGAUUACACGAGAAUUCCUACAACAGUCAGCAGGGAUUACAUGUUAAAGUUUGAUUACACAAGAAUUCCUACAACAGUCAGCAGGGAUUACAUGCUAAGGUUUGACUACACAAGAAUUCCUACAACAGUCAGCAAUUCCUACAACAGUCAGCAGGGAUUACAUGUUAAGGUUUGAUUACACAAGAAUUCCUACAACAGUCAGCAGGGAUUACAUGCUAAGGUUUGAUUACUCACCAGAAUACACAAAUAAUAUAUUAUUUCUUACGAAGCAAGAAUCUUGCAAUCUGAUUGGUUAAAUAUCCUUGUGUAAAUAACGCCCCACCCCAGUUUGCCUAGGGGUAACAUUUUGUCAUAAUUUCCCCUUAAAAAAAUAUUUUGCUAGAAUUAUAAAAAAAGAUGUUAUGUCUACCUUAUUAAAGAGGGCAUUUUAAAAACUGAUUGUUUUCAUG